rnacentral:rRNA from 1 species
CCAGACUCCUACGGGAGGCAGCAGUAGGGAAUUUUCGGCAAUGGGGGGAACCCUGACCGAGCAACGCCGCGUGAACGAAGAAGUUAUUCGUAAUGUAAAGUUCUUUUAUCAGGGAAGAAAGAGGAAUUUGACGGUACCUGAGGAAUAAGCUCCGGCUAACUACGUGCCAGCAGCCGCGGUAAUACGGAGGAUGCGAGCGUUAUCCGGAUUUAUUGGGUUUAAAGGGUGCGUAGGCGGAAUGCCAAGUCAGCGGUAAAAUCGCGGGGCUCAACCUCGCUCCGCCGUUGAAACUGGCGUUCUUGAGUGGGCGAGAAGUAUGCGGAAUGCGUGGUGUAGCGGCGAAAUGCAUAGAUAUCACGCAGAACUCCGAUUGCGAAGGCAGCAUACCGGCGCCCAACUGACGCUGAAGCACGAAAGCGUGGGUAUCGAACAGGAUUAGAUACCCGAGUACAC